UGGGGAAUAUUGCACAAUGGGCGCAAGCCUGAUGCAGCCAUGCCGCGUGUGUGAAGAAGGCCUUCGGGUUGUAAAGCACUUUCAGCGGGGAGGAAGGCGUUAAGGUUAAUAACCUUGGCGAUUGACGUUACCCGCAGAAGAAGCACCGGCUAACUCCGUGCCAGCAGCCGCGGUAAUACGGAGGGUGCAAGCGUUAAUCGGAAUUACUGGGCGUAAAGCGCACGCAGGCGGUUUGUUAAGUCAGAUGUGAAAUCCCCGGGCUCAACCUGGGAACUGCAUCUGAUACUGGCAAGCUUGAGUCUCGGAGAGGGGGGUAGAAUUCCAGGUGUAGCGGUGAAAUGCGUAGAGAUCUGGAGGAAUACCGGUGGCGAAGGCGGCCCCCUGGACGAAGACUGACGCUCAGGUGCGAAAGCGUGGGGAGCAAACAGG
rnacentral:rRNA from 1 species